UUACUUUCUACAAGAAAUAGAAUGAGGAAUUUCCGAAAACUUUUCUUGACUCGCUUCCAACAGAUUUCAAGACAGUCCAGCCUCUGUACGAUUCCAGUGAACACUCACUGACGAGGAGACUCAUUCUUGCAACUUUAGCAUUUCUUUACACUUUUGAAGUACUUCGCAACACAAUAUCAUAAACAGACAUCAUGGACGCCAUCAAGAAGAAGAUGCAGGCUAUGAAGCUUGAGAAGGACAAUGCUAUGGACCGGGCUGAUGCCUGCGAACAGCAAGCCAAGGAUGCCAACUUGAGGGCGGAGCGGGCUGAGGAGGAAGUCCGUGAGUUGCAAAAGAAGAUGCAGCAACUCGAGAACGACCUCGAUCAGACCCAAGAGAAGCUCAUGAACGCCAAUCAGCGCCUUGAAGAGAAGGAGAAGGCCCUUCAAAACGCCGAGGGUGAGGUCGCUGCCUUGAACAGACGCAUCCAGCUCCUUGAAGAGGACUUGGAACGCUCUGAAGAACGUCUCGCUACCGCCACCCAAAAGCUCGCUGAGGCCUCCCAUGCCGCCGACGAAUCUGAACGUAUGCGCAAGGUGUUGGAGAACCGCAGCUUGUCCGAUGAGGAGCGAAUGGAAGCCUUGGAGAACCAACUCAAAGAAGCCAGAUUCCUCGCUGAGGAGGCUGACCGCAAAUACGACGAGGUUGCUCGUAAAUUGGCCAUGGUUGAGGCUGAUUUGGAGCGUGCUGAGGAACGUGCCGAGACCGGCGAGUCCAAGAUCGUGGAGCUCGAGGAGGAGUUGCGAGUUGUCGGCAAUAACCUCAAGUCUUUGGAGGUGUCCGAGGAGAAGGCCAACCAGAGGGAAGAAUCGUACAAAGAGCAAAUUAAGACCCUGACCACUAAGCUGAAGCAGGCUGAGGCUCGCGCUGAAUUUGCCGAAAGAUCUGUCCAGAAGUUGCAGAAGGAGGUUGACCGACUUGAGGAUGAUCUCCGCUCUGAGCAGGACCGCAAUAAAAUGCUUCAAGAGGACAUGGAAGCCACCCUCCACGACAUUCAAAACAUGUAAUAAAACACAAAAACAACACCACUACUACUACUACUCUACCAACCAAAACGCACCAUCCUAACACUAACCUUGGAAGCCUGAAACACUUUUUUAUGGAUGAACUGGUCCACGAAAAGGAGAAAUUCAAGGCCAUCUCUGAUGAGCUUGAUCAGACCUUUGCUGAAAUGUCUGGAUACUAAAAAAAGCCAGUCCAUUCGAUUCUAUCUACUACUACCACUUCUACACCAACCACCCGACACCUUCUAAUCAAUGAAAUCCAUGAGAGACCCCCCAACAACCCUUAUCUGCUUCUUGAGUCGAAAACGAGCCGAGGCUCUGAGGGUUGUGCUCUCUCUCUCAAUCUCUCUCUCAAUCUCUGCCUGUCCGUCUGUCUGUUUACCUAUCGUUCCUUUUUUAAGUCUUAAACACAGAGCCUCAAUUCUUCUUCCAUGAUCUUCCUUUACCUUGAUGAUUUGCAAGUUAUAUGUACUAUCCCUCGAUACUUGUGGCACACCAUUUCCUGGAGAAAACACCAGGGAACGCCCUCAACCAACUAGAGAACAACAACAUCGUGUGCCAACUGAAAGAGCACUCACUGCCACACCCACACCACCAACAAAACUACAAUCCUUGUCCCUUGUUGAACCUUUAUCCCACUUCCAUUCAUUAUUACCCGUUCCCUUUUCUUUGUCAAGAGAAAGGGCGUGGCUCAUGUUGUGGAGGCAGGCGUGGCUGAGAAGCAAAAGACAUUCGCUUUUUUUUGAUUAAUCUUCCCCUCCCCUUCUCCCAUCUCUGCUUAAAAAUUAAUGAUAAUAAUAAAAUAAUAUUAGCCAGCUCCACGACCACUAUAAUUAUCAUCAUAUUAUUAUUCUAUAUUAGCCGACAUGGUCUUCGACAUGCACAGAUUAUGAUACUGUUUGAUAUGUGUAAGCGAAAAAUAAAUUGAAGAGUGAAAAAAUAA